CUGAGCCAGGAAAAAGCCGCGCCCUCUCUCUCUCUCUCUCUCACUGCCGGCAAAGUCAGACAGCAGGAUUCCACAAAUCCUGCUGCGAGAAUAUCCACAACUGGCUCCGCCCACCCGGAGCAACCCUGGGACAGUACAUUCAGUGAAACAACAUGCCUGGUUAAACCAAGGAUCAAGAUGGAUCGCUGGGGGAUGCUGAGGAGUUAUGGUUAAAUCUCUCUGAAAAACCGGCACGGUUCAGCACAAGCAACAGAGGGCCCCACCAAUUUAGUGAAGUAAUCCACUUGGAAUUCAUGUCAUCACUACCUACCACAUAACUCAGAGCUGCCGGACAGUAACAACAGCAAUGUGCAUCGGAAUGUUAUAGUGAAUGCUAUAUUGUUGCUUCUCCUUAUCUCUGUCCAACCAGGGCAUCACUGUUUACCACUGUAGAGGCGUAUGGCUGUCAGUGGAAAAUCACAGUACAUUUCAAGAUCCAAACUGCAUUUAGAAGAAAAAAACACGUCAAACAAGCGACAAUAAAGGCACAGACAAAUGGA